rnacentral:rRNA from 1 species
UACGAAGGGGACUAGCGUUGUUCGGAAUUACUGGGCGUAAAGCGCACGUAGGCGGGUUCUUAAGUCGGUGGUGAAAUCCUGGAGCUCAACUCCAGAACUGCCUCCGAUACUGAGAGCCUCGAGUCCGGGAGAGGUGAGUGGAACUGCGAGUGUAGAGGUGAAAUUCGUAGAUAUUCGCAAGAACACCAGUGGCGAAAGGCGGCUUACUGGUCCGGUUCUGACGCUGAGGCGCGAAAGCGUGGGGAGCAACAGG